GAGACCCACGCCCACAGUUGCCAGCGUACUCUCCGGAGUGACGGGUACACUGUGGGGACCGCCGCUGCUAAAGCGGAGGAAGGAAUGGGCAACGGUAGGUCAGUAUGCCCCGAAUAUCCCGGGCUACACGCGAGCUACAAUGGUUGGUACAAUGGGUAUCUACCCCGAAAGGGGAUGGAAAUCUCCUAACGCCAAUCUUAGUUCGGAUCGAGGGCUGCAACUCGCCCUCGUGAAGCUGGAAUCCGUAGUAAUCGCGUUUCAACAGAGCGCGGUGAAUAC
rnacentral:rRNA from 1 species